rnacentral:rRNA from 1 species
UUGAAAGGGAAACGAUUGAAGUCAGUCGUGCUGGCGCGAAAUCAACCUUCUCGUCUUGAGAUCUCAUGGCGUGGCGAGCCUCAAAACCGUCACGAAGCGUGAACUCUUGGUGAAAUGGAGCACUUUCGUGUCCGCUGGUUAACAUCAAUUUCGAACGUCAUAAAAAGGCUGGAGGGAUGUGGCUCCUUCGGGAGUGUUAUAACCUUUAGCGGAAUGUGGUGUUCGGGAUUGAGGAUUGCAACGAAUACCUUUAGGGCUGUUCCACCUGGCUUCUCUUUGGUAUCCUGGUGACGACAGCUUGCUGACGUCGUUAGGAUUCGCCUUUGAACAGGUUAGAGUGUGAGCAAAUUCGUUAAGGAUGUUGACGUA